rnacentral:tRNA from 1 species
GCUGAGGUGGCGGAAUUGGCAGACGCGCUAGGCUCAGGACUUAGUGGCCGCAAGGCCAUGGGGGUUCAAGUCCCCCCCUCAGCACCA